UACAGAGGGUGCGAGCGUUGUCCGGAAUCACUGGGCGUAAAGGGCGCGUAGGUGGCGCCGCAAGUCGGUGGUGAAAGCUCGUCGCUUAACGACGAGUCGGCCAUCGAAACUGCGGGGCUCGAGCACUGUAGGGGCAGAUGGAAUUCCCGGUGUAGUGGUGGAAUGCGUAGAUAUCGGGAGGAACACCAGUGGCGAAGGCGGCUACCUGGGGCUUUGCUGACGCUGAGGCGCGAAAGCGUGGGGAGCGAUCCGG
rnacentral:rRNA from 1 species